CUGGAGACAGGUGCUGCAUGGCUGUCGUCAGCUCGUGUCGUGAGAUGUUGGGUUAAGUCCCGCAACGAGCGCAACCCUUGCCUUUAGUUGCCAGCAGUUCGGCUGGGCACUCUAAAGGGACUGCCGGUGUUAAACCGGAGGAAGGUGGGGAUGACGUCAAGUCCUCAUGGCCUUUAUGACCAGGGCUACACACGUACUACAAUGGCCGAUACAAAGGGCAGCGACACUGCGAGGUGAGGCCAAUCCCGUAAAAUCGGUCUCAGUCCGGAUUGGAGUCUGCAACUCGACUCCAUGAAGUUGGAAUCGCUAGUAAUCGUGGAUCAGCAUGCCACGGUGAAUACGUUCCCGGGCCUU
rnacentral:rRNA from 1 species